rnacentral:rRNA from 1 species
UGGGGAAACAAACGGCAAUGGGCCCCAAGCCUGACCGAGCAACGCCGCGUGAAUGAUGAAGGCCUUCGGGUUGUAAAAAAUCAGUUAUAAGGGAAGAACGACUUUAGUAGGAAAUGGCUAGAGUGUGACGGUACCUUAUGAGAAAGCCACGGCUAACUACGUGCCAGCAGCCGCGGUAAUACGUAGGUGGCGAGCGUUAUCCGGAAUUAUUGGGCGUAAAGAGCGCGCAGGUGGUUGAUUAAGUCUGAUGUGAAAGCCCACGGCUUAACCGUGGAGGGUCAUUGGAAACUGGUCGACUUGAGUGCAGAAGAGGGAAGUGGAAUUCCAUGUGUAGCGGUGAAAUGCGUAGAGAUAUGGAGGAACACCAGUGGCGAAGGCGGCUUCCUGGUCUGUAACUGACACUGAGGCGCGAAAGCGUGGGGAGCAAACAG